rnacentral:lncRNA from 1 species
UGAGCGCAGAUGCGAAAUUCGAAGUGGAGUUCGCUAAAAAUGGGCUGGUGCACAUAAGGAGCUGCACCAAAAACAAAUAUUUGAAACGAACUCAUAACCCUUCCAUCACCAGAAGAGAAUAUGAGGAGUACUGGAUUACUAUAACCUCCGAUAAGCCGGAAGAAGACACAAAAAAGGAGUCAUGCACAUUGUUCAAGCCUAUCUUGGAAGACUCUUUACAUGGAAAUUAUCGAUUUGUCCAUGCUCAAUCUGGACACUAUUUAUGCUUAUGGCCAUUGGCUACAGGGUAUCUCAAACGUGGCGUGUUGGCAAACCCCAAUCGUGCUGCAGAUAAUCAGAAUGAUAUCUUCAAAGUUAUUGAUUGGGAGUCGUUGGUGAUUCUGCCUAAGUUCGUUGCUUUCAAAGGAAAAAAUAAUAUGUUCCUUGGUCUUACUGAAGCUGGGGAACAGCGUUUAAAAUUCUCGUGUGGGGAUGUUGGUGAUCACCAUGUGACAAUGGAGGUUUUCUAUAGGAACAAUGGUGACAUCCGGAUCAAGCCGGUUUCUUCCGAUAGGUUCUGGAGGAGUAGCCCGAAUCGUAUUCGGGUGGAUUCUGAUGAAAAUAAAUGUAAGGAUAAGGACACUCAUUUUCGUGCCUUCAAAGUCGACGGUAAGACCAUAGCUCUGCGCAACGUCGGCAACGAAAAGUUCUGCGACUUGAAGGAAACGACCGGUGACCUUGCUGCAACCGUCCCUUCGAUUACUAAAGAAACCUACCUAUGUGUUCUAGAGCCUGUGUUGUCCAGGACAAUUUAUAACCUCCGAUACGACACAGAAAAUGCUCGGGUCUAUAACGAAAAGGUCCUUGUUGUGGCCCAGAAUUCCGCCACUAACCGUACCACCCAAGCCAAGACACUCGAUGUGAAACUUUCCUAUAGUGAGACCAAUACCAGUACUUGGCUAGCUCAUUUUACACCAGGUCUUGAAACCAAAGCCACCUUCCAAGUCGGGGUUCCAUUCAUCGGUGAAACAGGUGUCGAAAUAUCUUCCAAAUACGAAACAGGAAUCAAGUGGGGAAAGACCAAGACGAUGACCACCGACAAGGAAGUUACGCACCAAGUUAGUGUGCCGCCCAUGACUAAGGUGACGGUGUAUCUUAAGAUGACCUAUGGCACGUGCGAUGUUCCCUUCGUGUUCACUCAAAAAGACACUCUUUAUAAUGGGACCUUUGUUGUAACUGAUGUCCUAGGUAACACUUUCACUGGUACUAAUUAUUACAACAUCCAAUGUGAUAGCAAAGAACCCCUCACCUCUGGAAAUCAGAACAUCAACGUAUUUUGCGAAAUAUGUAAAAUAAAAAUUUAAAAAAAUUAUUGUAAAAAUUUUCAUUUUAAAGUUUUAAUAUAAACUAUUAUUCCCACUCAUUUUUUUUAGUUUUAUUUUUUUAUUUAGAAAUUAUGCAGCAACAUUUUACUUUUUUUUUAAUUUUCGUUUCAAAUUAUAUUACAUAACAUUUUACAUGAUAUUUAAUGAUUAAGUUAAUGGUUUCAAUAAUAGAAGGAUACCGUCAAUAGUUUGGGGAUAUAAUUAUAGAAUUUUGGAAGUUUGAGGAUUAAUUUAGAAUGAAAAUCAUAAUUGGAGGAUUUCUAGUACAAUUAAUUCUAAUUCUUAAAGGAUUUUUGUGUUUUUGCUAUGUUUUGAUGUUUUUUUAAUUUUCAAUUUUGGUCCUACGUAAUUAGAGUUUAUCAUGGGUCAAGUCGGGCUAGUGCAAAAAAGUCAAUCCCCUUUUUUGGGCUUAGGUCCAACCCUGCUCGAAAAUGAGUUUAAAAUUUUAUCCAAACCUAGCCCAAAUAAAAAAUGCUAAACUCAGGCUCGGCCAGCAUUAAUUUUUUUAGAUUAUUUUUAUAUAAAAAUAAAUUUAAAAAAUAUAAUAAAACAAAUAGACUAAAAAUAUUAAAAUAAACAUUUUUCAAUAAAUUAAAAAUACAGAUAAAAAAUAUUUAUAUUUAAAUAACACUAAUAUAGUUGCAACUUAACGAAAAAAUACUUCUAGAAUAAUAGUAAAAUUAAUAAUAAAAUAAGAGUUAUAGAAUAUUCAAACUAUUAUUCUUUGAAGUCCAUACAUAAUAGGUAUAAAAAUAUUUUCCCACUUAAUUAAUAUUUUAUUACUAAUCUUUUUUCGACUUAAAUUAAAACAUUCUUAUUUACUUGCUAUAAGAACCUUAAAUGGUAUAAUACUGUUUUAAGCCUUAACCCUUUAUUUAAUGAAAGAAUUACAUUUUGGUCCAUCCCAAAUAUUAAUAAGUGAAUUAAAUUAAUAAGUUGUUUUAACACAAUUUUUAGAUUUAACCCCAAUUUUUUUAAUUAUAAGAUUAAAAUAAAAACUUUUUAAAACCCAAGGGGAAUUAAUUGAAAUUUUACAAAAUUUAAGUACAGGCCCUGCUACCCCUAAUUCACCUCUGGUUGGAGAGAAACUUGCAUUAAGCUAUCAAAUAUAAAUGUCAGUACCAACAGCUUAAAGAAACAAGUGAUUAAGAGGUAAAACAAUCAAACAUUUUAAUUCAAACAAUCAAACUCUAGGUAAGAUGUUAGUAUAAAAACUUAUUUUAUUUAAACUUAAUUAGAAAGUAAAUAAAUAUUAAUAUAAAAAUUAAUACUUAUUAUUUUUAAAUGAUAAUACAAAGUGUUGAGGCAAAAACAAAUUCGAACCUUGAAGAUGGAAUUAUUGGUAGGGGCAACCACAAAUCUUUAACAUGGACCAAAAGACAUAUAUGAAAGAUACAAAAAAUAUAUCCUUAGUGAUUAAGAGAUAGAACAGGCUUACACAACUUUACCUCAUUAUGUAAAAUCUAGUAUAACGCUAAUGAUAAUGAGAAAAGUAAAAGGAACUUUUUCCCCUUGGUUCAUCAAAUGUUUUGGUCCAUAUUAGUGCUUGAACUUGAUAAAUUUUUUCAAUUUUAAUCUAUGCGAUGAUGUGAUACUUUUAGUUGCGUAAUGUUAUCACCUACUUUUUUAUAAAAAUUAUUAUUCUUUGAAGUGAUGACAUGACACAAUAUAAAUACUACAUUUUCACAUUAAUCUAAAUUGGAAUGAAAAAGAUUCCAAAAGGAAUGUGUACAAAAGAAAUUUUAAAAAAAUUACCUUUUAUCCAAAAGGAAAAGCAAUAGGAAUGAGGCGUCAUUGAUCGAUGGUGGAACACACGUUUCCAGCUUUGGAUUUUGUUCUUUCUUAUGGUCCCUAGAAAUUAGGUGAUGAGCCUUUUUUUUUCCUUCCACUUGGAUUAAUUAUUUGCCACACUAACGGGGUAUGUGUCUUAAUUUCACAAGAUUAAAAAAUUAUCAUUUUUUUUUGUAAAACACUGUUAUAAAAUUUUAAAAAAUAGACAUGAUGAUGUUUUAAUUUCACUUACAAAAUUAAAAUAAUUUCGUUAAUAUCUAUGCUAUAUAAAUCUCAAUUUAAUUAUUAAAUUAUUUUUAUUUUAAUAAAAUAUAAAUAAUAAAUUAAGGUUAUUUUUAUCUUUUUAUACAAAAAUUGAAAAAAUAUAUAUGUUUAUCAUAAGAUUUGAAUUCAAGACAUCAAAUGUAUAAUAUCUCAAUUUUAUCAUUUCAAUCAAAAUAAUAUUUAUUUUUUAUAUCAAUUCAUAAUAAAUUAAAUUAUUAUUAUGAAAUAAUCAAAGGAAAGAACAAACUACAGAGAAAAUAUUAAUACAAGUUUUGAUUCAUCUAUUUAUAGACCUUCUAAUGUAAUACAAUCCCUUAAAUUACAAAGAAAAAAAUAGAGGUUUAAUUACAAUAUAAAACGCUACCAUAAUAAAGUAAUAUUUAUAACAAUUACAUAAUUAUUGCACUAAUAUAAUACAUGUGUGUCAUAAUUUAAUAUUAAAUAAUAUUUUCCUAUUUUAAAGAAAAAAAAAAGACUACGCUCGUGGCAUAACUUUUAUGUUUUUCUUUUUGGGAUAAAUAUUAAAACUACAUAUGAACUAUGAUUUAAUGUGAAAUUAUAUACACGAACUUUGUUUUUGUUCAAUUUUAUAAAUGAAAUUUUGAUUUGAUCCCAUUCUUGUAAAUUAUUAGCACAAUUAUUAAUAUAACAUCAUUUUAUAUUUAUAUAUUGCAUACAUAAAUAAUUAUAUUUAUCUAAUAUUAAAAUAAAUUAAUGUAUUUAUUUCUUCAAAUAUAUAUGAUUAAAUCAAAAUUAAAAUUUUAAAUAUGCAAUUGAGUUACAAUUAAAAUUGCACAUAUAUAAUUACAUCAAAUUAAAUUUCAUAUAUAAUAUUAUACAUAUAAUUUUCAAAUUUAUCCUUUUCAUUUUCUGCAAAAAGAUUCUCACAAAUUUUAAUUUGAUGUUUCUGAUUAUUUUAAUUGUACGUCUCCUCCCACUUUCAAUAUUCUAUUAGUAUAAUAAUGAUGAAUUAAAUUUUUUAUAAGUAAUUUAACCAAAAUUAUGUUUAAUUAGAAUUCAGAGACUAAACUAUAAGGUCCAAUCAUUAUAAAUUAGAAAAUGAAUUAAGUACUUAAAUUGCAAUUAAUCUGAGGUCUAAAACAACAAUUAGACCAUUUAAAAAAUGUGAUAGUAGACGGUUGGAUUAGCCAUGUCAUUAGCUUAAUUAAAUUAAGAUUUAAUUAAUUUAAAACACGUUUAAUUAAAACUAAUUAAUUAGGUGAUAGAGCCUGUUUUUUACUUCCCUAUGGCCCCAAGAAAUUAGGUGAUAGAGCCUGCUUUUGACUUCCACUUGGAUUAAUUAUUUGCCAAAUAAAUUACAUAAUUAUUGCACUAAUAUAGUAUGUGUGUCAUGUUAGUCAUAUUUUAAUAUUAAAUAAUAUUUUUAUUUUUUAAAUAAUAAUAAAAAAAAGACUAGGCUUGUGGCAUGACUUUUCUGCAAAAAGAUUUCUCCCACUUUCGACAUUCUAUUCAUAUAAUGAUAAUAACAGUAUAGUCAAUUUUUAUUAAAAAGUUCACUUUUAAGACCAACAAUGUUUAAAUUUAUUAUUUUAUUCUUCCUAAUUCCUAUGGUUUCCAAUUGUAUUAUAAUAUGAAACAUUUAAAUAAUUUAAUAUAAUUAAACAUAAAGUAUUUUACAAUUUUAAAUAUAAUGCUACGUGAUAUUUAAAUAAUUAAUAUAUGAAUUUUAAUUAAUUUUUUAAAUAGUUAAUAUAAAUAACAAAUUUGAUAUUUUUACUUCAAAAUCGACGAGUCAUAUAUUAAAAAUAUUUAAAUCCUAAUAAUUCUAAUUUUGAUUACUAUUUCAUAGUAAUUGAUUUUUAGUGAAGGAAUGAUAUAAUAGUUACUAUGAGAUAAAAUAAGAUUAUAUUGGGAGAAUGAAUUAUCCCAAAGAGAUUAAAGAUAUCCUAUGAGGGUAACACACUUAUUAUAAGGUCAUUAGACGAGCACUAAUUAAGUAGCUUUUAUUAUAAUUUGUAAUAAAGUAGAGCUCAAACACAAUAUUGUAGUGGAAUGACUUCGUAACUAAGUAAGUUUACAAUCAAUAAGAAAAAAGCUGGAACUUAAUUAUAAAUUGUUUGAGCCCUAAUUAUAUAUGUCAAAUCGGUUCCUCUGCUAGCUCGUUGAAACUAGAAACGAAUUGCAUGUAGAAUCAAAUGACAAAAAAUAGAUAGAAAUGAUAGAGUUAGAGAAAUGGGUCACAUUCGCAAAUGAAUGUGUUUUCUCACUGAGUAAUUAGAAAUGAUUUGAGAAUUAAUUUAUGUCUUUCGAAUAUUAUUUAAUUAAAUAAUUAAAGUUCGAAAAUGAAAUUAAACUAAUUAGUAAUUGUGGAUCCAUUGAAUAUGAAAAUUAAAUAUAUUUCCUUAGAGAUUCUUUUACGAUAAAGUUAGCAUGACUUUAACAAAAUUAGAACUGGAUUGAGAAAAUUAUUUAUUUUAAAAACUAAUUCAUCUAAUUAAAUUAAUUAAUAAAUAAUAUUUAUUUUGGGUUAGAUUAAAUUAUAAAGUGUUGCUUUAAAAGUAUAAUAAAUACAUAUAAUUUGAUCCAAUACAGGAGAUGUCCGAAUUUCCCUCAUAAUACAUGAGAGGGGUGACACACUCUAGUAAAAUUUACUGGGGUUGUCGCCCCACCUCUUUUAGUUCAACUAGAAGACUAGUUUUUCUAUUGAAUAAAUAGUUUUUAUGUAAUACUAAUUCAACCAGGAUUCUCCUAUCUAUCUCUGUAAAUAGAUAGUACUAAUAGAGCUAUUUACAACAGUUCAGAUAAGUUUUCAAUAUUUCUAUUCUGUAAGAAAAUAGUAAGAAUUUAUUUUCUAAGUAUAAAUUUUGUUUUCUGGGAAUUAUAAUUCUGUCAGUUUCUAUUUAGAGAGAAUUACUUUCCUACUGAAAGUAAUAAAUCAUUUUUGGUUCCGUGUUUGGUUCGUGACUAUUUGAGCCUACACUCGAAACAAUUUAUAGUACAAGAAUAGCGGAGAAGGUCAUUCGGUUGAAAGUUAGGAAUGUCUAGGAUCCAGUUAGCAUAAACCACAAUUCCUUUUUAGGAAAGAAUUAUUUCUACAAAUGUCAAUCCCAAAUAUAAUAAGUCAAUUUGUAACAGUUUAUUUUUUAGUGGUGUCAAAAACAGUGAUUUUAGGACCACAACUCCAACGUACCGGUUCGUAAAUAUUAAAUAAAUAAUAUUUACGAGGUCAUUAAUGUCGUAUUAAAAUUUGAUUAUAAAAUUUUAACGUUUAGUUAGUUAGUUAAGUAAAAUGGACUAAAUCGUAAAAAAUGUGAAAGUAGAAUUCCAUUAAUUAAAAGGGUUAAAUGUCAAUUAAAGGGUAAGGUAAGGCAUCUAAAUGGUACCAUUUAGGAGGUUAAUGGACGGUUUUGAGACUUUAUUAGUUCAAUUUUAAGUGAAAUUUUAAAAGGGCAAUUAGGUAAUUUAUUAAAUAAACUUUAAUUACAUUGAAAUUAAAUAUGAAACAUAUCAUCUUUCAUCUUCAUCAUCCCUUUUGCCGAAAACCCUAGAGCAGAAAAGAGAAAAAUUUAUUAGCAUUGCUCCAUUAUUUGGUAAGAGUUUUGCUACCGGUUUUUAGUAAUUUUUAUGUUUUUGAGUUCGUAUUAGUUUAAUAUAACUAGCCUAAGGAUCAAUUCAUAGAACUGUUAAGCUUGAUAAAUUUUUCCAUUGAAGAUUUGAGUUGUUCUUGAUUGAUUAUGGAGGAUUUUGAAGCUUUGUUAUUAAAUUUGAUUAUUUUGUAAGUGAUUUUGAUGAUUUUGAUGUUUAGGGAUUAAAUUGCUAAAGUGAUAAAACUGAAGGAUUUGAUGUGAAAUGGGCCGUAAUGAGAGCUAUUAACUUUCUGUUGGUAUGGGUUCUUAAUAAAAAUGGGUAAAUUGCAUGAUUAAGGCCUAGGGACUAAAUUAAAUAAAAAUAAAAAGUUGAGGGUAAUUUUGUAAAUUGUCAAAAAGGACCCAAUUUCAUAAAUAGCCUGAGUUCCUGUUGAUUUAGUUAAUUGAAUGAAAUUAUUAUUUUAUAUCAAGAACGUGUUGAAAAUCGAGGAAAGGAAAAAAUAGCUAAUUAGUCCAUGCACUUCCGUUGUUGCUACAAAUCAAUCUAGUAAGUUCAUUAAGUUAAAGUUUAAUACAUUUUUCUUGAUUGCUUGUUAUAUAUGUAUAUAUGUAUAUAUAUAUAUUAAAUCGUUGAGAGUUCAUGAUGCACAUGUAAUGAAUCACUGAGAACCUAUUUACGAAUGGAUAUAACACUGAUUGAUGUUAAGACUCCUGAACAAGUAAACAUAAGAUCGAGCUCCUCUGAUAUGCAAAAAAAAAGGGUGUGGUGUAUGUAGAUUUGGAUUAGCUGGAGAUGGGAUGAUAAUUCAUGUUUAUUCAUGUUUUCCUAAUUAUAUCGAUGUCCAGCAUUUGUUGCGGACUAUCGAGUUUUAUUUAGGUUUAUCUGGAGUGUUUACGGGGGCAGUCGUUAGCCGAUGUAGUCGUUGAGAGCACCAAAUGUAAUAGCCUAAAUUUUCAGUGGUGUCGGAACAGUGAUUCGAGAUCACUAAAUCCGAAAAAUGAGUAGAAAAUAUUAAUAAUUUAGUGAAUAUAAGUUAAGUGUGAAGUUAGGAAAAUUUUUGAAAUAGCGAAUAAUGUACUAGAAAUAAAAAUUUUAAAAAUUAGAAUCGAAAAUGAGAUAUCGAGAGUUUGAAAAUUUUAAAAUGAGCCAUAAAUAUUUUUAUAAAUAUUUAUGGAGUGUUAAUAAGUUAGUAUUAAAGUUUCAUUAAGAAAUUUUAAAGUUUCGAUAGUUAAUUGAAUAAAAAGAAUUAAAUUGUAACAAAUGUAAAAUUAUGGGAAAUGAUUAAAUAGCUUAAAUGAUAAAAAAAAGAGGGUUUAAAAGGUAAAUAGACCCAAGGUCUAUUUGGGCUGGACGGCAAAGUGCAUGAAAUCAGCAGGAAAAUUGAUGAAUUAAAGGUAAAAUUGGAAUAUUGUAAAAUUUACUUAAUAAACUAGGACUAAAGUGGAAUUAUCUAGAAUUCUCAUUAUUUUUCUGCAUUCUCAACAGCAAAAACACCAUAGAAGGGUUUUAUUAAGCUGGUUUUUCAUAUUUUUACUGCAAGUAAGUUCAAUUCUUGAUUAUUUCUUGAAUUUUUUGUGUUUUUAUGACAUUUACAACUAGGUCCACUUGUUGAAUUCAUUAGUUUUUGAUUCUAUGAAAGAAAUUGGAAGUUGUUAUGAAUAUAUGUUGGAAGUAUAUGAUGAUUUAUCAUGGAAUUAGAGUUUUAAAUUGUUUAUAUGCUGAUUUUAUUGAAAGAAUUGAAUAGAAAGUGAAUGUUUGGGACCUAAUGGUGAAAGAGUUUGAAGUUAGGGUUUUAUGUGGAAAUUAUGAAUUUAAAUAAUUGUGAAAUAACUUAUAAUGUCUAGGUAAAGCAUUAAUUGGGAAAAAUUAGCUUCAUUGAGGGAUUAAAUGAGCAAGGACUGAAUUGUAUGAAUGUGAAAUUUGGGGCAAAAAACGAAAUCAACAUUUGCACUAAAACAGUUUUGGACAGCAGCAGUAGUCUAACUUUGAAAAAUCACCAUAAAUUUUAUAAAUCGAAUUAUAAAAUGAAAAAAAUAUGAAAUUAAAUCUUAUUGAGUCUAGUUUCUCAUAGAAGAAACGGUGUAAGCAACGGAAUUGUAGAUCAUGAGAUAUAAUAGAUUUUAUGAGACAAUGUCAGAAUGAUUUCGGGUUCCCAUGUUCUGAAUUUGGAAAAUCAUAAAAAAUUGGAUAAAAAUAAUUAGGGGCUUAAAUUUAUAUUUUAAAAUCCUUAAUGAGUCUAUUUUCAAUAAAAACAAACAUGGACAUCAUCCGAAUUCUGUACGAAGAGAUAAUUAAUUUUUAGUGAAGAAGGGUCAGAAUUGUCAGACAGCAGAACAGGGGUGAAUUUAAAGAAUAAACUGUACUUAUUGACUAAACAAAAAAUUAUAAAACUUUUAUGAUAAGAAGAUAUAUGAGUCUAGUUUCAGGAAAAAUUAGCGGAUCCUAAUUUGGAGUUCUGUAGCUAAAGAUAAAAAUAAUUUAGUGACUAUGGCACUGAUGGACAGCAUUGGAAUAUACAUAAGUAAAUAAUGAAAUUAUAGAUAAUAUUACUUAUAAGCGGGUUGAAGAUGAAGUCAAUACUGAUAAGUGAAUGAUUUUACAAUGAUAGAUCGAGAACCCGAAGCAAGUCGAGGAAAAUAAAAAGUAGCUGAUUAGUCCCUGAACUUUCACAAAUUUUACAAAUCGACCCAGGUAAGUUCAUAUGGUUGAAGUUUAAUGAUUAUAUGUUAAUUUUAUGAAUUAUAUAAUGUAAUAUGUAUGAUGAAAUAUAUUUAUUGAUAAAUAGAGAAUAAAAUAACAACACGAAAAUCGAAUAAUUGAUUAAAUUAAGUGGAAUGUCGGAUUUGAGUACUUUUGAUCAAUGACAAGUGAUAAGUGGUAGCCUCAGCUACACUUAUCUGAUCACUGAUAAGUGACAAGCGACAAGCGACAAGUGAUAAGUGGUAGCUUUAGCUACACUUAUCUGAUCAGUGACAAGUGAUAAGUGAUAAGUGGUAGUUUUAGCUACACUUAUCUGAUUGGUGACAAGUGAUAAAUGUGAUCAGUGUAAGACCGUGGUAGGACUAUGACUUCAAAAGGUGAUAAGUGAUCAUACGCAAGACCAUAGUUAUACUAUGGCAAAGUGAAAGAGAAGUACUCAAUUUUCCGUAACCAUUCCCUAAUUUGGUUAAAGAAUGAUAUGUGACAAAUGGGCCCAAAAGAAUUAAAGGAAAUGGAUAAAUGGUAGUAAGUUUAUACAAGGGAACUCACCAAUGGCUGUGGUUGACAGGUGAACUUAAUAAUUGUGUAUAUUGUAUAAGUGUAUAAAUAUUUGGUAAGAUUUAUGUUUUAUGCCUAUGAACUUACUAAGCUUCUAUAAGCUUACAUGAGUGUAAUCAAUGUCUCUUGUAGAUUGACGUGGAAGUAUACGGAGGAUCGGAUCAACACAGAGGAUCACACUAUCCAGAUUAUCUCCGGUAGCUUUUGUAAAUUUCUUUUUGAUUUAUAUGGCAUGUAUAAGGUUUGAUGAUUAUAUAAAUAUUAAGACUUGUUUAAGAAAUAUACAUUAAAGUAAAGAAUGAUGAAUAUGUUAAAUAGUAUAAUUAUAAUAGUAGUAUAAUUUGGUAUCAAAUUGAUUGAAAUGAAUUGGUUGUUUGGAUUGGUCUCGGUUUUAAAAUUUGCAGGGAAUGUUAGAUAUUUAUAAAGGGGUUAUAUUGAGCAAAAAAAAAAUUGGGAUUUUGCGAAAAAUUCCCUAUGGUUUCGAUUUAAUUCUGGUUUUGUCUCGAAGUAUGUUUUGGGCUCUGGAGGCCCAUCUAAAAGAUGCCAUGACAUGUUUUAGUAAAUGAAUAGUAUUUAACUCGUAUUAAUGGAAAAUUAAUUCAGUAAACUUCGAUAAUGCCUCCUACCCUAUUCUAGCGACGAAUACGAGUAAGGGGUGUUACAUUUAGUGGUAUCAGAGCCCAGUUUAGCCGGUUCUCGAAACAUGUGUUACGUGUAAAGUGUUUAGAAAUACAUGCCAUAUAAAUCUAUGAUAGUGUGAUGUGUAUGAUUCGAUCUAAUCUUUUUGUCAUUUUUAUAGAUAUUCUUCGAUUAUAAAGAUGUCAGAUAGACCUGAACGCAGUGAACAGCAGGAAGCUAUCAGUAGAGUGCAGACUUCUGAACAAGGAACAAGUAGUGAUAUUCUAAUUUUUAUGAUACGAGAGCGAAAACUUAAAAAUAUGAUUUAUGGAGUUAUGAAUCAGUGGUAUAAGGAGAUGAUACAAGAAAGAAGUCAGGCUCAACCACCUUCUCCCCCUACUGCACCACCUGUGGUACAUCCGGUUGCUCCUCCACCUCCUUCAAUAAUUGAAACUAGUAAACGUUCUCCGAUUGAAAAGCUGAGGAAGUUUGGAGCUGAGGAAUUUCGAGGGAGAUCAGAUGAUGAUCUUGUAAAAGCUGAGUAUUGGCUACAGAGUUUGGUAAGAAUUUUUAAACAGAUGGCUUGUUCUCCGAAGGAUUAUCUACGAUGUGCUGUCUCAUUGUUAAAAGAAGAAGCAUAUAACUGGUGGGAAACUGUGGAAGCUGUAGUACCUGCAGAGAAACUUACUUGGGAAUUUUUCCAGAACGAGUUUAAAAAGAAAUAUGUGGGGAAAAGAUAUCUAGACAAGAAAAAGAGAGAAUUUCUUGAUCUACGGCAGGGAAAUAAGUCAGUGGCUGAAUACGAAAGAGAAUUUGUCUACCUCAGCAAAUAUGCUCGAGACAUUGUACCUACUGAAAAAGAAAUGUGUAUCAGAUUUGAAGAAGGGUUAAAUGAUAAGAUUAGAAUGAUGAUUGGGGGUAAUGAAAUACGGGAGUUCGUUGUUCUGUCAGACCGUGCUCAAAAGCUCGAAGAAGUAUAUAACAGAAAAAUGCAACGAGAUCAGAAAAAUAAAGAGCCAUUUAAAAGAGGUGCUUCUAAGUCAUUUUCAGAUUUGCCGGUAAAGAAAUCUAGAGAAGAAAUUAGUCGAACUACAUCCGUGCCAGGAAGAUUGGUUAGAGGUAGAUCAAGACAAUCUGAUUUCAGGGUAUUUGAUCGACCUGCAGCAAGUGUGAGCAGUGUUCAGAAUACUCCCUAGCCUAAGUGUCAAUAUUGUGGAAGACAUCAUUUCGGUGAAUGCAGGACUAAGAUGGGGGUUUGUUAUAAAUGUGGGGCUACUGAUCAUCUUAUUCGAGAUUGUCCCCAGCUGCAAAAAGAUGAAGUGGAUUAGAAAAAGAUACAGAGAACCACUCCACAAAUAAGUAGACGUUCGGGCCAGAGCAGUGCUACAGGGGCUACCCGUUCGGGUGUGAGAGAACCAGUUAGUCAAUCAGAGAAUAGAGCACCAGCACGUACCUAUGCCAUUCGAGCAAGGGAAGAGGCUACGGCUUCUGAUGUAAUUGCUGGUAUUUUCUAUCUUUAUGAUGUUACUGUUUAUGCAUUAAUAGACCCUGGGUCUACUCAUUCAUAUAUUUGCAAUAUGCUAGCAUCUAAAAAGAAAUUAUCUGUUGAGUCCACUAAUUAUGAUAUACAAGUCACUAAUCCAUUAGGUCAAAGUGUGAUGGUUAAUUUAAUAUGUCGUAAUUGUCCACUAAAAGUGAAAGGCUGUGAAUUCCCUGUUGAUUUGAUGUUGUUACCCUUUCAGGAAUUUGAUAUUAUUCUAGGGAUGGAUUGGUUAACAAAACAUGACGCUGUAGUGAACUGUCGAGAGAAACGGAUUGAUUUGAAAAAUCAGACAUGAGAAAUGAUUUCGGCUGAGUUUGGAAAUAUGAAAGAUAAUGUUCGAAUUAUUUCAGCCUUUUCAGCUCAUAAGCUAAUACGGAAGGGUAAUGAAGCAUAUUUAGCUUAUAUUCUUGAUACUCGGGAUUCUGAAUCAAAGUUGAAACAGUUGCCAGUUGUUAAUGAAUUUGCUGAUGUGUUUCUUGAGGAAUUGCCGGGUUUACCACCAGAUCGCGAAGUUGAGUUUGUGAUUGAUGUGAUCCCGGGAACAGCUCCAAUAUCCGUAACACCAUAAAGAAUGGCACCGACUGAAUUAAAAGAGUUAAAGACUCAGUUGCAAGAAUUGUUAGAUAAGGGGUUUAUUAGACCGAGUACAUCUCCUUAGGGUGCACCUGUUUUGUUUGUGAAAAAGAAAGAUGGUUCGUUGAGAUUAUGUAUAGAUUACAGACAAUUAAAUAUGGUUACAAUCAAGAACAAAUAUCCUUUGCCCCACAUUGAUGAUUUGUUCGAUCAAUUGAAAGGUGCUGCUAUGUUUUCAAAAAUAGAUCUUCGAUUUGGGUAUUAUCAGCUGAAAGUUACAGAAUGUGACAUGCCAAAAAUUGCCUUCAGAACUCGGUAUGGUCAUUAUGAGUUUUUGGUAAUGCCAUUUGGUUUAACUAAUGCUCCUGCUGCAUUUAUAGACUUGAUGUCAGAUUUUUCAACCUUAUUUGGAUAGAUUCGUGGUUGUAUUUAUUGAUGAUAUACUGAUCUAUUCGAAGACCGAGCCUGAUCAUGCACAACACUUGAGAAGUGUGUUACAGACUUUGAGAGAGAAGCAGUUGUAUGCAAAGUUCAGCAAGUGUGAAUUUUGGCUACAUGAGGUUGGAUUUCUAGGUCAUAUUGUUUCAGCUGAAGGAAUUCGAGUAGAUCCAAGUAAAGUGUCAGCAGUGGUGAAUUGGAAAACUCUAAAGAACGUAACAGAAGUGCGAAGUUUCCUGGGAUUAGCAGGAUACUACCGCCGAUUUGUUAAAAAUUUUCAAUGAUUGCCUUGCCAAUGACUCGACUACUUCAGAAGAAUGUUGAAUUUGUAUGGUUUGAAGAGUGCCAAGAAAGUUUUGACCAGUUGAAGAAGAUGUUGACAGAAGCUCCAGUGUUAACUUAGCCAGAAUCAGGUAUACCAUAUGUUGUGUAUAGUGAUGCAUCUUUAAAUGGUUUGGGUUGUGUUUUAAUGCAAUCAGGGAAAGUAGUGGCAUAUGCUUCUCGACAAUUAAAAUCGCACGAGAAAAAUUACCCUACCCAUGAUUUGGAGUUGGCCGCAAUUGUGUUUGCUUUAAAAAUCUGGAGACAUUAUUUAUAUGGGGAAAAUGUUAUGUGUAUACCGAUCACAAAAGUCUGAAAUAUUUGAUGACACAGAAAGAGCUGAACUUGAGAUAGAGACGGUGGCUCGAACUAUUGAAAGAUUAUGAUCUUGUUAUUGAUUAUCACCUGGGGAAAGCUAAUGUGGUCGCUGAUGCACUUAGCCAAAAAUCAUCAUUGUUUGCACUUCGAGCAAUGAAUCUUCAUUUGUCUGUUAAUGAAGAUGGCUCAGUAUUAGCAGAAUUGAAAGCAAAAUCUACAUUCCUUCAACGGAUCCGUGAAUUACAGAGUGAUUAUCCGAAACUAGUGCUGAAACGACAAAUAGUUCAGGAUAAUUUGAGUUCAGAAUAUAGCGUUGAUGAUGGUGGUAUGUUGCGUUAUCGUAAUAGAAUUUGUGUUCCGAAAAAAUCCAGAAUUGAAAAAUGAUAUUCUUGCUGAAGCUUAUAAUAGUAAGUAUUCUAUUCAUCCGGGUAGUACAAAAAUGUAUUGCGAUUUAAAAAGAAUGUACUGGUGGCCUGGUAUAAAGCGAGAGAUGUGUGAAUUUGUUGUAAAAUGUUUAAUCUGUCAGUAGGUGAAAGCAGAGCAUCAAGUACCAACGGGUUUAUUACAACCUAUUAUGAUUCUUGAACGGAAGUGGGAACACAUUACGAUGGAUUUUGUAUCAGGAUUGCCUGUGACUCUGAAAAAGAAAGAUUCAAUCUGGGUUAUCGUUGAUAGAUUAACAAAGUCGGCACAUUUUAUUCCAGUCAGAUCAAAUUUUUCAUUGGAGAAGUUAGCAGAAUUGUACAUUUCUGAGAUUGUGAGAUUACAUGGAGUUCCAAUAUCUAUUAUUUCGGAUCGAGAUCCGAGAUUUACUUCGAGAUUUUGGAGUAAAUUAUAGGAGGCUUUGGGCACUAAAUUAAAUUUCAGCACAGCUUUUCAUCCUCAGACAGACGGGCAGUCGGAGCGAGUGAUUCAGAUUUUAGAAGAUAUGUUAAGGUGUUGUGUACUUGAGUUUGGCGGCAGCUGGGAAAGGUACUUUCCUUUAGUCGAAUUUGCUUAUAAUAAUAGUUAUCAAACUAGUAUUAAAAUGGCACCAUUUGAAGCUCUGUAUAGAAGAAAGUGUAAAACUCCAUUAUAUUGGUCUGAAUUAAGUGAACAGAAACUAAUGGGAGUGGACUUGAUUCGGGAAACCGAAGAAAAAGUUCGUAUUAUUCGAGAUUGUUUAAAAGCUGCCUCCGAUCGGCAAAAAUCAUAUGCAAAUUUAAAGAGAAGAGAUAUAGAGUUUAAUGUGGGUGAUCGUGUAUUCUUGAAAGUGUUACCGUGGAAGAAAGUUUUGCGGUUCGGUAGAAAGGAAAAACUCAGCCCACGAUUUAUCGGGCCGUAUAAAAUCAUUGAAAGAAUCGGUCCGGUAGCUUAUAGAUUGGCUUUGCCCCCGGAGCUUGAAAAAAUUCAUAACGUGUUUCAUGUGUCUAUAUUGAGACGUUACAGAUCAAAUCCAUCACAUGUAAUCCCUUAUACAGAAAUAGAGCUCCAACCCGACAUGACUUAUUCAGAAGAACCGGUGAAAAUUCUAGCUUGGGAAAUUAAAGAGUUAAGGAACAAACGGGUACCGUUAGUAAAAGUGUUGUGGCAUAGACAUGGUGUGGAGGAGGCAACCUGGGAAACAGAAGAAUCAAUGAGAUCACAAUAUUCGAACCUAUUUUCAGGUAACAAAUUUCGAGGACGAAAUUUCUUAAAAGGGGGAGAAUUGUAAUAGCCUAAAUUUUCAGUGGUGUCGGAACAGUGAUUCGAGAUCACUAAAUCCGACAAAUGAGUAGAAAAUAUUAAUAAUUUAGUGAAUAUAAGUUAAGUGUGAAGUUAGGAAAAUUUUUGAAAUAGCGAAUAGUGUACUAGAAAUAAAAAUUUUAAAAAUUAGAAUCGAAAAUGAGAUAUCGAGAGUUUGAAAAUUUUAAAACGAGCCAUAAAUAUUUUUAUAAAUAUUUAUGGAGUGUUAAUAAGUUAGUAUUAAAGUUUCAUUAAGAAAUUUUAAAGUUUCGAUAGUUAAUUGAAUAAAAAGGAUUAAAUUGUAACAAAUGUAAAAUUAUGGGAAAUGAUUAAAUAGCUUAAAUAAUAAAAGAAAGAGGGUUUAAAAGGCAAAUGGACCCAAGGUCUAUUUGGGCUGGACGGCAAGGUGCAUGAAAUCAGCAGGAAAAUUGAUGAAUUAAGGGCAAAAUUGGAAUAUUACAAAAUUUACUUAAUAAACUAGGACUUAAGUGGAAUUAUCUAGAAUUCUCAUUAUUUUUCUGCAUUCUCAUCAGAAAAACACCAUAGAAGGGUUUUCUUAAGCUGGGUUUUUAUAUUUUUACUGCAAUUAAGUUGAAUUCUUGAUUAUUUCUUGAAAUUUUUGUGUUUUUAUGACAUUUACAACUAGGUCCACUUGUUGAAUUCAUUAGUUUUUGAUUCUAUGAAAGAAAUUGGAAGUUGUUAUGAAUAUGUGUUGGAAUUAUAUCAUGAUUUAGCAUGGAAUUAGAGUUUAAAUUGUUUAUAUGCUGAUUUUAUUGAAAGAAUUGAAUAGAAAGUGAAUGUUUGGGACCUAAUGGUAAAAGAGUUUGAAGUUAGGGUUUUAUGUGGAAAUUAUGAAUUUAAAUAAUUGUGAAAUAACUUAUAAUGUCUAGUUAAAGCAUUAAUUUGGAAAAAUUAGCUUCAUUGACGGAUUAAUUGAGCAAGGACUGAAUUGUAUGAACUAUGAAAUUUGGGGCAAAAAACGAAAUCAACAUUUGCACUAAAACAGUUUUGGACAGCAGUAGUAGUCUAACUUUGAAAAAUCACCAUAAAUUUUAGAAAUCUAAUUAUAAAAUGAAAAGAAUAUGAAAUUAAAUCUUAUUGAGUCUAGUUUCUCAUAGAAGAAACGGUGUAAGUAACGGAAUUGUAGAUCAUGAGAUAUAAUAGAUUUUGUGAGACAAUGUCAGAAUGAUUUCGGGUUCCCUUGUUCUGACUUUGGAAAAUCAUAAAAAAUUGGAGAAAAAUAAUUAUGGGCUUAAAUUUAUAUUUUUAAAAUCCUUAAUGAGUCUAUUUUCAAUAAAAACAAACAUGGACAUCAUCCGAAUUCUGUAUGAAGAGAUAAUUAAUUUUUAGUGAAGAAGGGUCAGAAUUGUCAGAUAGCAGAACAGGGGUGAAUUUAAAGAAUAAACUGUACUUAUUGGCUAAACAAAAAAUUCUAAAAAUUUUAUGAUAAGAAUAUAUAUGAGUCUAGUUUCAUGGAAAAUUAGCGGAUCCUAAUUUGGAGUUCUGUAACUAAAGAUAAAAAUAAUUUAGUGACUAUGGCACUGAUGGACAGCAUUGGAAUAUACAUAAGUAAAUAAUGAAAUUAUAGAUAAUAUUACUUAUAAGCGGGUUGAAGAUGAAGUCAAUACUGAUAAGUGAAUGAUUUUACAAUGAUAGAUCGAGAACCCGAAGCAAGUCGAGGAAAAUAAAAAGUAGCUGAUUAGUCUCUAAACUUUCACAAAUUUUGCAAAUCGACCUAGGUAUGUUCAUAUGGUUGAAGUUUAAUGAUUAUAUGUUAAUUUUAUGAAUUAUAUAAUGCAAUAUGUAUGAUGAAAUAUAUUUAUUGAUAAAUAGAGAAUAAAACAACAACACAAAAAUCGAAUAAAUGAUUAAAUUGAGCGGAAUGUCGGAUUUGAGUACUUCUGAUCAAUGACAAGUGAUAAGUGGUAGUCUCAGCUACACUUAUCUGAUCAGUGAUAAGUGACAAGCGACAAGCGACAAGUGAUAAGUGGUAGCUUUAGCUACACUUAUCUGAUCAGUGACAAGUGAUAAGUGAUAAGUGGUAGUUUUAGCUACACUUAUCUGAUCAGUGACAAGUGAUAAAUGUGAUCAGUGUAAGACCAUGGCAGGACUAUGACUUCAAAAGGUGAUAAGUGAUCAUACGCAAGACCAUAGUUAUACUAUGGCAAAGUGAAAGUGAAGUACUCAAUUUUCCAUAACCAUUCCCUAAUUUGGUUAAAGAAUGAUAUGUGACAAAUGGGCCUAAAAGAAUUAAAGGAAAUAGAUAAGUGGUAGUAAGUUUAUACAAGGGAACUCACCAAUGGCUGUGGUUGAUAGGUGAACUUAAUAAUUGUGUAUAUUGUAUAAGUGUAUAAAUAUUUGGUAAGAUUUAUGUUUUAUGCCUAUGAACUUACUAAGCUUCUAUAAGCUUACAUGAGUGUAAUCAAUGUCUCUUGUAGAUUGACGUGGAAGUAUACGGAGGAUCGGAUCAACACAAAGGAUCACACUAUCCAGAUUAUCUCCGGUAGCUUUUGUAAAUUUCUUUUUGAUUUAUAUGGCAUGUAUAAGGUUUGAUGAUUAUAUAAAUACUAAGACUUGUUUAAGAAAUAUACAUUAAAGUAAAGAAUGAUGAAUAUGUUAAAUAGUAUAAUUAUAAUAGUAGUAUAAUUUGGUAUCAAAUUGAUUGAAAUGAAUUGGUUGGUUGGAUUGGUCUCGGUUUUAAAAUUUGCAGGGAAAGUUAGAUAUUUAUAAAGGGGUUAUAUUUAGCAAAAAAAAAAUUGGGAUUUUGCGAAAAAUUCCCUAUGGUUUCGAUUUAAUUCUGGUUUGGUCUCGAAGUAUGUUUUGGGCUCUGGAGGCCCAUCUAAAGGAUGCCAUGACAUGUUUUAGUAAAUGAAUAGUAUUUAACUCGUAUUAAUGGAAAAUUAAUUCAGUAAACUCCGGUAAUGCUUCCUACCCUAUUCUAGCGACGAAUACGGGUAAGGGGUGUUACACCAAAUAUAUCUUAUCUCCUACAAAAUAAUGAAAAAGAACAGUAAAGAGGAAGUAGGGUCGAAUCCUCAAGGACCGGAUUGCACGAAUGCUUGUUUCUCGAAAUCCUGGGCAAAAUCGUGCCCAAGAAACCUGCGUUCCUAAAAAAAGUAAAAAAAAAAGAUUUUUAAAGUUUUGAUCUGAGAGUGAAAUAAAAUAAAAAUGAAAUUAAAAGUUGAAUUGAAAUUUUAGAAAUUAAAAGUAAAAAUAAAGUUGAGAAGAAGAUUUCUUAUGGUGGAUUUCUAGCCUUCGGUUGUCUCGAUUCGCCUUGGAUUCAAUCAAUGGCUUUUAAGUGACCCUUCUCAAGCAGAGUAAGCCAGUUAUAGUGGAAGAGGACACCUACGACCACCAGCUCCAAGAAUUUAGACUUAAGAUUUGGCGGAACCUGACUCUAGCCAAUAAUUGCUUUUGUGGGACUAUCUUCUGCUAGAUCAUCACUUCCCAAUGGCGAAUACCACGCCAUUUUGUCUCUUGAACUCGUCAACCUCUGACAUAGAAAGCCAACGAACUGACUGUGCAACCUUCCCCAAACGUACAAAGCAGUCGUUCAUUGCAUAAGUUGAAAAGAUCACCUAUUAUCAUUAGCCUUCAUGCUAGGUACUUAGUGCCGAGACGUAUUAUUGGUUGGAUUACUCCUAUGAGCGUUUAGCGUGAUUCGGAUGUGUGGACGGAAAUUUAAAUGUUGGAGUUUAGCAGGGAGUUUAUUCAUUAACUUAUUUUUUGAGUUAAUUGUUAUUCUAGUAAGAUUUAAUUUAUAGUAAUGAACUUACUAAGCUUCAUAAAGCUUACUUGUGUAUUUGAUCUCUUGUAGAUACCGUUUUUAUGGAUAAUCAAGCGAUCGGAUCAUCUUAAAGACUCAUACUAUCUCGAGAACUCUUUGGUAGAUUUUGUGAUCAUUUUGGCUUAUAUGACAUGUAAUAAGGCCAUGUACAUGUUGAAGUUGCUUCUUAAUCAUGUGUGAUAUUUUGUUGUGCUUGAUGUUAUGAAAUGGUAAAAAUCAUAUUGAAUAAUGGUAAUUUGGUAUGGUUGCUAUGUGAAUGAUGAUUUGUAGGUGUAAUAUAUAUGAUAGUGGUUUGGAAUGGAUAACACUUUGUGACUUCAAGAAUGACACUUUGUUUGGGUAUUGGGUGAUUAAAUUUGGUAUGUUUUGGUUGCUUUUAUUUGUGGGCACUUCGUUGUGAACAUGCUAAAUGAAUUGGUUUGGGUACCUAUGCAUAGAGUUGAAAAUCAAGCUUGAAAUUGGUCUUUUUUUUGGUACACACGACCUGGGACAUGGGCUGUCACAUGGCCAUGUGAUGCACACGGGCAAGCCACGCGGGUGUGUGCCCAAGGCAAGUUGAAAAGCAGUAUAAGUGCAGUUCUCACACGACAUGCGACACAGCCAUGUAAUCCAAAUCAGAGAGUUACACGGUCCAUACACACAGGCGUGUGAGAGGUUGUACAUGAGCAUGUGGGAUGGCUACUCGGCCAUGUCUGAAGGCACUCAGUCUAAGCUCUGUCACAUUGCCUAGACACACAGCUGUGUAACCCCUGUUUGAGAAAUUUUCACUUUUGUCCCAAAUUUUCUGUAUUUUCUCGAAUUGGUCCCUAAUUGUUUCUAAACUAUUUUUAAGGUCUCAGAAGCUCGAUUAAGAUCCAUAAAUGUGUGCUUGGUGUGUUUAAAACUAUAGGUUUUGAAAAACUAUAAUUGCAAAAACAGUAUGUGACAUCAUGAUGUCAACCAUUUCUCGUCGCGACGAGGGUUGGACUCCAAGCUACAAUGCGACUAUAAACCUCGUCGGGAAGCUAGUAUGUCACAUUGCGACAAGAAACUAUCUCACGUCAUGGCGUCAACCCUAUAAUUUGAAUUAUUCAGAAUUCAAUCCCAAUUUGAUCUCGGAUUAGCUUAUGAGCUUUUGUAAGCUUGUAUAAUACCCGGAAAUGUUUAUUUAUCAUGUUGUUUACUUAUAAUGUUAAUAUUGAAUGUUAAAAUGGAUUGAAAUUGUGUCUAUUUUGAUCGUAGUUGCUUCGGCAACGAAUGCGAUACACUAUAACUCAGACUCAGUGAUCAAGUCGGGUAUAGGGUGUUACACCUACAUAACUUUACCUCGUUAUGUAAAAAUGUAAUACUUUUAGUCACGUCAUGUUAUCACCUAAAAAGUUUUUUACAAAAAAAUAUAAUUUUUAAAUGAUUAUAUGACACAAUAUUAAAGUGCUACGACAUCACAUAGAUCUAAAUUGAAAAUUUUACUAAAUUUCAAAACUAAUGUGAAGAAAGAAAUGAAUGAUCAAAUUAUAAAAAAAAAAAAAACUUUUAUCCAAAAGCAAAAGCAAUAGCAAUUUCAACUUGGAUUAAUUAGGUGAUAGAGCCUGUUUUAAAAUUCCACUUGGAUUAAUUAUUUGCCAAAUUAAUGAGGUAUGUGUUUUAAUUUCAAAAGAUUAAACAUUAUCAUUUUUUGUAAAACAUUAUUUUAAAAUUUUAAAAACAAAUGUUUUAAUUUUACUUAUAAAAUUAAAAACAAAACACUUUUAAUAUCUAUAUUAUAUAUAAAAAUUUAAUUAAGUUUAUGUCAUUUAUAAUUGAUUCUCAAUUAAAUUAUUAAAUUAUCAAUAUUUUAAUAAAAUAUAAAUGGUAAUUGAAGGUUAUUUUUAUCCUUUGAACACAAUAAAAUUUGAAAUCAACACAUCAAGUCAAUUCAGCCAACAUAGUAGGUGUGUCAUGUGAGUCAUAUUUUAAUGUUAAAUAAUAAUUUUAUUUUUUAAAGAAAAAAAAAAGACUAGGCUCGUGGCAUGACUUUUAUUAUGUUUUUCUUUUCUACAAAAAGUUUCUCCCACUUUCGACAUUCUAUUCAUAUAAAAAUAACGAUAAUAGGAUAUUAAAGUCAUUUUUAAUUAAAAUAAAUUUAUUAUUUUAUUCUUCCUAAUUCCUAUGGUUUCCAAUUGAAUUAUAAUAUCAAAUAUUUAAAUAAUUUAACAUGAAAUAAUUAGACACCAAAAAAGAAUGAUGUCAAGUGGCUCGAUGCUAUAACGAUUCAUUAUCUAUUGUUAUUCAACUAAUCCUUGUACUAACUAGGGUGGAGUUGGCAAUGGAGAUAUAAAAUAGCUCCAUGGACCCAACCGAUCACCCGAAUCAUCUCAGAUCAUUCCAUUAACUUAGAAAUAUCUCUAAGCCAAUCUAGUGUUGUAUCCUCCCCACACAAUUUUAUAACCCAUUUCAAGAGCUGCAAAGUAGCAUCCAAAACUUCAACAAGCUUAAUGUCCAAAACACAAAAUUUGAAAGAAACACUAUGAGAAUAUAUAAGACAGCUCCACAUAAUGACCUUAGAAGUCAAGUACUCUAAACCUUAAACUCUAUAACUUUUAAAACCAUGCUUUGCUAUAUAUCUCACUCUCUCUAAACCAAUACCAAUUUUAGCAUAGGAGGUUCCUCAAAUUACAAACUCUAAUGCCUCUAACCCAUUUUCUCAUUUUGCAAAACAAUUAAAACAUUAACACGAUUUAUCGUCACAAACCGACUUUAACAUGGACAUUUCCAAGGUAUAGUGCAUGAGGAAAUUGAAUAUUAAAUAUUUCGUUCAUUUUGAAGUGUAUCUAUCAAUAACUAAUUGACGAAUAUGAUAUGAUUUUUACAAAUAUUGGUUGUUUGUGCCAUUAUGGCAAAUUUAUACCCGCUAGUAAUUGUUGGAUGCAAUAGUAAAAUACAUUGCACUCUCAAGGAGAGAACAAAAGUUAAAACCUUAAAAAUAGAAUUAUUGGUAGGGACAACCACGAAUCAUUAACAUGGAUCGAAAAACAUAUAUGAAAGAUACAAAAAAUAUAUAUCCAUAGUGAUUAUAAAAUAGAAUAGGCUUGCAAAACUUUACCUCGUUACGUAAAAUCUAAUAUAAUACUAAUGAUAAUGAAAAAAGCAAAAGAGAGAAGGUAACAUUUAGUCAUUGAACUAAGGUUUUCUUAACUUGGUUCAUCAAUUUUUUUAAUUUAUAUUAGUACUUAAAUUUAACAAUUUUUCUUAAUUUUGAUCCAUAUAAUAAUAUGAUACUUUUAGUUGAAUCAUGUUAUCACCUAAAUAUUUUUGCAAAAUAGAUGAUAACAUGAUACAAUAUAAGUACUAUAUCCUCAAAUUUAUCUAAACUGGAAUGGAAAAAGAUUCUAAAAGCAAUGUGAACAAAAGAAAUUUAAAGAUUAAAUUUAAGAAAGUUACCUUUUAUCCAAAAGCAAAAGCAACACGUCAUUGACUAAGGAGUCCCCUUUUAUUUAUCAUGAUGAUUACUUAUAAUGUUCAUAUUGAAUGUUAAAAUCGAUUGAAAUUAUGUCUAUUUUAAUUGUAAUUAAUUCGAUAAUAAAUGUAAUAUAUUAUAGUUUAAAUUUAGUAAUCGAGUCAAGUAUAAAGUGUUACACCUAUAUAACUAUUCAUAAUAAAUAAAUUACGUAAUGUAAUUAUUAUAUUAAUAUAGUAUGUGUCAUUAAAGUCAUAUUUUAAUACUAAAUAAUAAUUUUAUUUUUCAAAUAAUAAUAAUAAUAAGACUAUGCUCGUUGCAUGACUUUUCUGCAAAAAGAUUCUCCCACUUUCGAUAUUCUACUCAUAUAAUAACAAUAACAGUAAUAGGAAAUUAAUUCAAAAUUGGCGGAUAUGCGGUAGUCAAUUUUUAUCAAAAAGUUCACUUUUAAGACUCCUUUUUUCCAACAAUGUUUAAAUUUAUUAUUUUAUUCUUCCAAAUUCCUAUGGUUUCCAAUUGUAUUAUAAUAUCAAACAUUUAAAUAAUUUAAUAUAAUUUAACAUAAAGUAUUUUACAAUUUUAAAUAUAAUGCUACGUGAUAUUUUAAAUUAUUAAUAUAUGAAUUUUAAAUAAUUUUUUCAAUAAUUAAUAUAAUUAACAAUUUUGAUAUUUUCACUUGCAAAAAUUAAUUAGUCAUAUACUAAAAAUACUUAAAUCCUAAUUAUUAUUUUUUAGUAGAAAAGUAUUUUAAUUACAAUUUGGUAUUUUUUUUCUAUGAAAAGUAUUUUUAGUAUCUUUUAGGAUUGUAAUAUUUUGAUUACCGAAUAUCAAAUAGUUAUAAUAUAAUCAUUAACAUUAUCGAUUUGUUACAUUUUGAUCGCUGAGUCAUUAAUUAUUUUUAAUGAUUUAACGACAAGCUGAUUUAACAUACGAUAUGAUCACUAAUAUUAUCAAUUUAUUACAUUUUAGUUAUUAAACCAUUAAUUGCCAUAAAAAUAUAAUGAAAAGCUAAUGUCACAUUUUAUAUCAUUAUUUCAUAUAAAAAUUUUAGUAGAGACUGCACAACUUCUAUUUGUGCAAUUACCCUAAAAUUUAUUCAACCUGACAACAAACUUCUCAUCCAACCAGAAAAAGCUUCCCUAAGGCAAGAAAAGCACCAAGUUUUUAUCUUUAAAUAGCAAAGCCCUUGACGUUUAAAGCAUAAGCACAAGAGUGAAAAAAGCCAUCGAGAGAGAUACUUUGUUUGUGAAAAUGACAUUGCCAAGGUUCAUCGUUCUCAAAGCCCCCGAUGCCGAAAACUACCUCUGCUACAGACCCCGCAAUGGCACCUACAGGGGCUACGCCGAGUUCACCGAAACGACGGUUGUGAGCGCAAAUGCGAAAUUCGAAGUGGAGUUCGCUAAAAAUGGGCUGGUGCACAUAAGGAGCUGUACCAUAAACAAAUAUUUGAAAGGAAUUCAUAAACCUUCCAGCACCGGAAGUCCAAAUGAGGAGUAUUGGAUUACUAUAACCGCCGAUAAGCCGGAAGAAGACCGAUCCAAGGAGUCAUGCACAUUGUUCAAGCCUAUCGACUCUUUAGAUGGAAAAUAUCGAUUUGUCCAUGUUCAAUCUGGAAACUAUAUAUGCUUAUGGCCAUUGGCUACAUCGGAC